GGGGUUGUGGCUCAGCGGUGGAGCACUCACUUCACACAUGUGAGAUCCUGGGUUCGAUCCUCAGCACCA
rnacentral:tRNA from 1 species